GCGGCCGCUGAGGUCCAGCCGGCCGAGGCGGUGGGAGGCGGCGGCGGCGGGGCCGCCGGCUGGAUGGGAAGUUCAUGUUGACGGCGGAGUCCACCCCAGGUUUCCAAGGUGGCGACAGACAAGGUGGCAGAAAAGCUGAGUUCUACUCUCUCAUGGGUGAAGAACACAGUCUCGCACACAGUCAGUCAGAUGGCCAGCCAGGUGGCAAGUCCAUCAGCCUCACUACAUACCACAUCCUCAUCUACCACACUGUCAACACCAACACAGUCACCAUCUUCCCCAUCAAAGUUGAGUCCAGACGACUUAGAACUCCUGGCUAAGCUGGAGGAACAAAACAGAUUAAUAGAGACAGACAGUAAGUCUUUAAGAUCAGUGAAUGGGUCAAGAAGAAACAGCGGCUCCUCUCUUGUUUCAAGUUCAUCGGCCUCCAGCAACCUCAGCCACUUGGAGGAAGACUCUUGGAUUCUAUGGGGAAGAAUUGUGAAUGAGUGGGAUGAUGUACGCAAGAAGAAAGAAAAGCAAGUGAAGGUAUUUCGCUGUUUACUGAAGUCCUUUCUCUUAUUUAGAGGGUAAGAGACAUGGACUUGUAGGGUGUUAGGAAAAGCAGAAGGGUUCUUCUAAGUAAUCUGUGUGCUGUGUUAUGAACAGGUUGCCUUUUUAUUUUCAUUAUCCAUGUUUGAUGGGAGUUGUAAGUUGUAGAAAUUCACAAUUGAAAAUUAUUUUUAGAAAUUAAAUUCUCUCGUUUUGUAAAUUCAGAAUUG
rnacentral:lncRNA from 1 species